rnacentral:rRNA from 1 species
UGGGGAAUCUUGGACAAUGGGGGCAACCCUGAUCCAGCCAUGCCGCGUGAGUGAUGAAGGCCUUAGGGUCGUAAAGCUCUUUCGCCUGUGAAGAUAAUGACGGUAGCAGGUAAAGAAACCCCGGCUAACUCCGUGCCAGCAGCCGCGGUAAUACGGAGGGGGUUAGCGUUGUUCGGAAUUACUGGGCGUAAAGCGCACGUAGGCGGACCAGAAAGUUGGGGGUGAAAUCCCGGGGGCUCAACCCCGGAACUGCCUCCAAAACUAUUGGUCUAGAGUUCGAGAGAGGUGAGUGGAAUUCCAAGUGUAGAGGUGAAAUUCGUAGAUAUUUGGAGGAACACCAGUGGCGAAGGCGGCUCACUGGCUCGAUACUGACGCUGAGGUGCGAAAGCGUGGGGAGCAAAGCAGGAUUAGAUAGCCCUGGUAGUCCACGCCGUAAAACGAUGAAUGUUAGCCGUCGGGCAGUAUACUG